GUAAUUUCAGGAGCACAGUAAGUGUAGCCCCACCCAACCCCAUUAGUUCAUUUAUUUCUUCCACAACUGGGGAGGCAGUGAAAUGCUGCAGUUAAACACUUGGGCUCCAGAAUUGGACUGCACGACUUUACUCUCCAGCUUACCACUUGCCAGCCGUGUGACACGGGUGAGUUACUCGACCCCUCUAAGCCUCUAUUUUGUCAUUUGUAAAAUGGAGCUGAUAAUAUUGUCUUCCUUACAGAGAAUCAAAUGAGAUAAUAUGCCUGGCAUAUGAUUGCCCUUGAAGAGGUUUCACUUUAUUGAAGGAGAAAGACAAAUAUUUUUUGUAAUUACUGUAUAGUGAGUAUGGUAGGUGCUAUGAAAGAAGUUGUUGAAAUUUUAAACUUAGAGUUUCAUGUCUUUUUCAGGGUAUAACAUAAGUGGUUAAAAUAGCAAGGACUUUGAAGUCAGACCUGAGUUUAAAUCCAAAUUCCACCAGCUAAAUGACCUUGGGCAAGCUGCUUCACUUUCGCUAAGUCUCAGUUUCUUAUGGGAAUAGAGUAGGAUGAUGAUUUUAUAUAGCUACUAGGACACAGUGAGCCUUCAAUAAAUUGUGACCGUUACUAUUAUUGUUAUUCCUAUUAUUAGUCAAGUUUGAUACCUGGGUGAUGCAUGUGGUUUGUAAAUAUUUAUAUUUUGUUUUGACACAGUGAAGGAAGACAAGGGAGGAAUUGGUGAAGGAGGUUAGGAAAGAAUUUCGAGGCCACUAGAAACAACUGCACAUCUCCCAGAAAGAGCUCUGCCUGUGGGCAGAUCAUACUUAUUUCUUGAUACCUUUUUUACCUGCAAGUCCUCACUGGACUCAGUGGGUAGACAGGAGGCUCAGGACUGGAUAGAAGAGGCUCCUAAGUUAGCAGGUGCAGAGUGUGCAGUGAGUACCCAGGAACAAGGUUUGCCUGCUGAAGAAGGGUACUGUGCCAAGUCUGGGUGGGGGACAGCAGGGAGCACACUUUGUGUGUGUGUAUUCUUGCCUUCUCUGCUCUGUAGUAGGCACCUGUCCCCCUGCAGCCAGCCCGGUCCUGCCUUUCAUUGCCUGAAGGAACUGCUACUGCCACCUGGCACACUCAGAUCCAUGUCACAGGGGCCAGGGAAGUCCAAGAAUCUUGAAGAAUAUUAGACACAUUUGUGAUUGUGAUUUAGGGUAGAGGUGGCCCUCAGGACAUCUGGCCCCAAGAAGGGUUUAUUGAGGUUAUGUUCAUCCACCUAAUACAAGGGCUCCUUGGCUAGAAAAUCACUCUGAAAGAGGUUCUGCUAAUUAUAGGAAAACUUGGUGAACGUCAGAGCAUAAACAAGACACUGCCACAACAUCUUGUGGUUCUCAAUGCCAGGAUACAAUGAGACAUCCCAGAGUCCAGCCCUGAAGGGGUUUUCGCAUCCUCUGAGACUGGAAUCAGAAGGUGUGAAUAGAAAUGGAAGCAGUGGCCUGUUUCAUCCCCUUCUCUCCCCUCCCCUGUCCCAUCUUUUUUCCUCAGGGCUCUGCCGACCCAUUCUGCUGUUUCCGUAUUCCCUUCACAGCAGCUCCCAUCCUCUACUCCUUCCCUUGUCUACCUCUCCUUGAAGGAGGAGCCUUUCCAAUACACCCUUCCCUGUGACUCCAACCUUGGUAAAGUCACCAACCAGCUGGACUCCUCCAGACAGCUAUACACUUGCAGCCCAAGGCUGGGAGUAGAACAUGGCUCUGUGCCAAGCUGCAGCUGGGAAGAGACUGGCAAUGAAAGGGACUGAUUUGGGCUGGGAACAAAACAGCCUCAAAUCAAGGGCACUGGACACAGCACAGACAAUGGCAUUUGCUAAGCUGCCAGGGGCUCUUGGCAAGAGCCACAUUUCUUUCCACUUUAUUAACUCCCUUGAGGAGGGAUAAGCCAGGGCUAGGAUCCUGAGCAACACAUGCCCUGGAGAAGGCCCGAGAUAGGUUACCCAGAGCCUGUGCAGCCCCACCCUAGAGCCUUCCAGCCUCCCAGGCUUCCUAAACCCAUUUUCCCAACCAGUGCCCGUAGGCAGGACUAUGUUCCAUCUGAGCCAUGGCUGUCAUCUCCCUAGUCACUCAUCCACUAGGUUCCCUAGAAGUGCAGGCUGCAAAUGUCUAUCCCAAAUCCUCCCUACCAUAGCAAAGUAGGAUCUCUCCUUGGUGAACGUCAGCUAGAGCUGCCCUGGACCAUGCCACACUGGCUGUAAAGGGCUUUUUCCUGGUCUGGAUUACAUAGACCAGGAAAAAGCUACUGCACUCUAGCCUGGAUGACAGAAGGAGACCCUGUCUCAAAAUAAAAAAUAAAAAAUAAAAAAU
rnacentral:lncRNA from 10 species